AAUCGCUAGUAAUCGCGAAUCAGAAUGUCGCGGUGAAUACGUUCCCGGGCCUUGUGCACACCGCCCGUCAAGCCAUGGGAGCCGGGGGCGCCUGAAGUCCGGGACCGCGAGGACCGGCCUAGGGCGAAACUGGUAACUGGGGCUAAGUCGUAACAAGGUACC
rnacentral:rRNA from 1 species